ensembl:lncRNA
AAACCAGGUCUAAACCAGGACUAAACCAGGUCUAAACCAGGUCUAAACCAGGUCUAAACCAGGUCUAGACCAGGUCUAAACCAGGUCUAAACCAGGUCUAAACCAGGUCUAAACCAGGUCUAAACCAGGUCUAAACCAGGUCUAAACCAGGUCUAAACCAGGACUAAACCAGGUCUAAACCAGGUCUAAACCAGGACUAAACCAGGUCUAAACCAGGUCUAAACCAGGUCUAAACCAGGACUAAACCAGGACUAAACCAGGACUAAACCAGGACUAAACCAGGACUAAACCAGGACUAAACCAGGACUAAACCAGGUCUAGACCAGGUCUAAACCAGGUCUAAACCAGGUCUAAACCAGGUCUAAACCAGGUCUAGACCAGGUCUAAACCAGGUCUAAACCAGGACUAAACCAGGUCUAGACCAGGACU